rnacentral:rRNA from 1 species
GAGUUUGAUCGUGGCUCAGAUUGAACGCUGGCGGCAUGCUUUACACAUGCAAGUCGAACGGCAGCACGGGGGCAACCCUGGUGGCGAGUGGCGAACGGGUGAGUAAUGCAUCGGAACGUGCCCAGUAGUGGGGGAUAACACAUCGAAAGAUGUGCUAAUACCGCAUACGCACUGAGGUGGAAAGCGGGGGAUCGCAAGACCUCGCGCUAUUGGAGCGGCCGAUGUCCGAUUAGCUAGUUGGUGGGGUAAUGGCCUACCAAGGCAACGAUCGGUAGCUGGUCUGAGAGGAUGAUCAGCCACACUGGGACUGAGACACGGCCCAGACUCCUACGGGAGGCAGCAGUGGGGAAUUUUGGACAAUGGGCGCAAGCCUGAUCCAGCCAUGCCGCGUGAGUGAAGAAGGCCUUCGGUUG